GUGGUACCGACCAACACGCCCUCGCCGCUCUGAUGAGCUUCACCACCACCAGUGACCACCACCUUGCCAUGCACCUCAUUUUUCCUCCUCGUCUCAAACUGGGAACCCAUUCUCUCACUCAGUGCUCACUGCACGAAAAAUGCCGACGGAGAUGUGGUGAUCUCUUCACUUCUCGACCUCGAUAUGGUUUUGCACUCCUUCAUUUUCUCCUAAUUUUUGAUUUCUAGCUCGAUCUCGAGCUUACUCGCAAGUUUUGGGUAGCUUUUACACAGAACUCAACUCGGGAGAAAUACUCCACUGUUUUCAUACGAAACCCACAUGGUUGCAAGCCGUUUUACGGCUGACUCCGGCCACGACUUCGUCUACUAUUGGUAUAUUUCAAACCCUUACAUCACGAGCUUCAUUUUUUACUUUUAUUUCAUCACAAAUGGUUGAGUUUUGAGCUCGUUUAUAGCUCAGGAAUUUGCUGGCCAGUUUUUGGCUACCGGACCUGCUAUAGGGACCAGGUUGACUCGACCGGAGAAGAAGAAGGAAAAAAAAUGCCUUAGGCCCAAAAUCCAGCCCAAAACCAUAAGCCCAAGCCUUUGGGCCUUUGUCUCAAGCCAACCCAUUUCUGAAUUGGGCUCAGAAUAUUCUGAGAAUAUUCUCUGGAAUAUUCCUUGGGUUGAUUUUUUGAAACUUUCUCAAGAACCCUCCUAGGUUAAUUUUGACACCCCGACUUCGUUUUUGACAUCCAUUGAGUGAAAUUCCAAAGUUUUAAUGUAGUUGACCACCGGGGUGUCUUGGUUGACUGUCGACCUUCUUGUUGACUUUUUACAAAAUUUGUCGGGGACCAUCCUUAACGGAUUUUGACGCUCUGAUUCCAAAUUUGCACUCCGUUUUCCCAAAUUUAAUUUUUUUAGUGGAGUUUUACUAAUGGGUCCAAAUAUUAUGCUUAGGUGCGAUUAUUAUCGGUGACUUCGGCUAUUCUAGUUCGAACGGGUCGACUCAACGACGUGAUCUGUGAGUAGGUCUUUUCUUUAUAUAUAUAGUGGUUAGUUUUCAUAUAUACAAUUAUUAAUAAAUUCUCUAUGUGAUUGCCAUGAUUAAAUUAACGUUAUAAGAAAUGCCUUAUUGUUGGGAAAUAAUGAAAUAAUUCUACGGGAUGCACAUGUAAGCUUAUUCUUAAGGGGAUGCUUUAAUUAUAUUUGUGGUUUUGAAUAGUAUUAUAUUGACUAGAAGUGUCGAAUUGAUAUGGCAUGAUUAUAUAUAAGUUAUUUGAUCAUCAUUGUUGCACUGGUGUUAGUACUCGCCCAGGCCAGGGCCAGUCUUUCACUUGUACAUCGCACCAUACGCUCACUUUGUAUCCAUUGUAGGUGCCAGUCCUGUCAUACAGGUUGCAAUAGGCAACUCCAACUCAUAUGUGUUGCGCAUAGCGUCAGUCAUCACGUGAUUGUAGUACUAGAGCAUAUAUCAUUAUUACACCCAGUCUUAUUCAUGUCAGAAUACCUCUACCUGAACUCGUGUGUCAGCAUAUGUUAAUGAGCAUUCGAUGAGAUAUGUUUAUUUAGGCGAAAAUAUGUGAUUACGGACGUCAUGUACUUAUUCAUGAAAGUUGUGACAUAAGGCAUCCUUGAAAUAUUGCUGGUUAUGGUAAGCAUUUUUAUAUUAUAUGUAGAAUGUAUAUUUUGGAAACUAUACUUGUUUUACAAUGAGGGGUUAGAACAUUUUUAGAAGGUUUUUAUAAAGCUUUAUUUUUAGGCCCACUCACCCUUAUUUUUCGCCCAUCUAGUUUUUAGUGGCUGAGCUUUCAUAUUGACGAGGAUUCUUGGCAAAUUUUGGUAUUGGAGAUUACUUCGUUGGUAUAAUUAUCAUCCUACCUUACUGUACUUUACUUAAGCUCUGACAUCACGUGUGAAAUAGGUUCAUUCCCGCUCAUAAGUGCAUUCUUAUAUUUAGGCACUUUUAGGUUUAAAUUUAUUCACAUUUUCCACAUCACUACACUUUAU
rnacentral:lncRNA from 1 species